rnacentral:tRNA from 1 species
AGUAAAGAAGUAAAAAUACAGUUAAUUUCGACUUAAUUUAAGAGAUAUAUAUCUUCAUACUU